ACCCCAAUGAGCUUUUGACC
rnacentral:miRNA from 1 species